GUGGACGUAGCUUAGCGGUUUAAAGCGUCGCUCUGUGGCAGCGAAGAUCGCCGGUUCAAAUCCGGUCGUCCACCCA
rnacentral:tRNA from 9 species